rnacentral:rRNA from 1 species
UACGUAGGUGGCAAGCGUUGUCCGGAUUUACUGGGCGUAAAGAGCGCGCAGGCGGUCGUACAAGUCGCGUGUGAAAGCCCCCGGCUCAACUGGGGAGGGUCACGCGAUACUGUUCGACUCGAAGGCAGGAGAGGGAAGUGGAAUUCCCGGUGUAGUGGUGAAAUGCGUAGAUAUCGGGAGGAACACCAGUGGCGAAGGCGACUUCCUGGCCUGUUCUUGACGCUGAGCUGCGAAAGCUAGGGGAGCAAACAGG